ACAGUGGGACUGCAAGUAGAGCA
rnacentral:piRNA from 1 species